rnacentral:rRNA from 1 species
UACAGAGGGGGCAAGCGUUGUUCGGAAUUACUGGGCGUAAAGGGCGCGUAGGCGGCUCGGUAAGCGUGCGGUGAAAGCCUGGGGCUCAACCCCGGGUCGGCCGUGCGAACUGUCGAGCUCGAGCACUGUAGAGGCAGGCGGAAUUCCGGGUGUAGCGGUGAAAUGCGCAGAUAUCAGGAGGAACACCGGUGGCGAAGGCGGCUUUCUGGGCCUUACCUGACGCUGAGGAGCGAAAGCUGGGGGAGCAAACAGG